rnacentral:sRNA from 1 species
CACCGUCUUCAGAAUCAUUACUCAGUGUGCCCUCAGAAAACAGAUGCUGUUUAUGGAUCCUUAAAAGACAAUCCGCUGCUUUUUUACUUUUUAAUGUUAUUACCUGUGUAGCUCUGUUUGUCUUUCUAAUACUUGUAAUAGAGUGUGGGUGAGAGUUCAUUGGGGAGUGUUUAUUUUGGAAUGUUUUUUGUAGACUCUAUGGCUAGAUUCUGAAACUGCUCAUUUUAAAAAGUAAGAAAAUGUCACAUCUUAGUUUCUAAGUCUGAUCACCUGAGAUGAUUUUUAAUACUAAAGGACCUGUGCUUCUUUCCUAAGGUUUCAUCUGAUGGAAAUCUUCCCCAGCAAGCCGCGUCAGCCCCAAGCCGUGUGGCUGCAGUAGGUCCCUAUAUCCAGUCAUCUACUAUGCCUCGGAUGCCCUCAAGGCCUGAAUUGCUGGUGAAGCCAGCCCUGCCGGAUGGUUCCUUGGUCAUGCAGGCUUCAGAGGGGCCGAUGAAAAUACAGACACUGCCCAACAUGAGAUCUGGGGCUGCUUCACAAACUAAAGGCUCUAAAAUCCAUCCAGUUGGCCCUGAUUGGAGU